AAUGGCUGCAGUAAUAUAACUGUACAAAGGUAGCAUAAUCAUUAGUUUUUUAAUUAAAAGCUUGUAUGAAAGGUUGGACGAGGUAAAAUCUGUCUCUUUUUAAUAUAAUUAGAAUUUAAUUUUUAAGUAAAAAAGCUUAAAUUUAUAUAAAAGACGAGAAGACCCUAUAGAGUUUAAUAAUUUAUUUUAAAUAAUUAAUUUAGAUUUAUUAAUUUUAUUUAUUAUAUAAUUAUUUUAUUGGGGUAAUAAAAAGAUAAAUAUAAUUCUUUUUUUUAUUUUACAUUAAUGUAUGAAUUAAUGAUCCAUUUUUAUGAUUAAAAGAUUAAAUUACCUUAGGGAUAACAGCGUAAUUUUUUUAAAGAGUUCAUAUCGAUAAAAAAGUUUGCGACCUCGAUGUUGGAUUAAAGAUUAGUUUAGGUGUAGAAGUUUAAAUUUUUGGUCUGUUCGACCAUUAAAUCUUUACAUGAUCUGAGUUCAAACCGGUGUAAGCCAGGUUGGUUUCUAUCUUUAUAAAAUUUUUAUAUUUUAGUACGAAAGGACCAAAUAUUUAAUAUAUUAAUAUUUAAUUAUUUUUGAAUAU
rnacentral:rRNA from 1 species